rnacentral:lncRNA from 1 species
CGAUCCUCAGGCACACAGACAGACAGACAGACAGAGGGAGUCCUGGAUGAAUGGCAAACCCUUCAGAUUCUAAUUUGUUUCUCAAUCAGUUGCUUCCUCGUGUGAAAUGAGGGGACAGACAGCUGAUCUUUCUGAGCUGCCCAUGGCUGGGACCACUGCCUCCAUUCCCAACACCCUGCUGGGGACCCCGCCUUCCAAAGAACAUGCCCCAGGCACACAGGUGAGCUCCCGCCAUGCACUCCCCGUGAAAGGGAAGCCGUCUGGAGGCAGUGUGGCACCUGAAGACGCUGGAGCUGCUGCUGUCAGGGACACACGCCCUGCCCAUUCAUCUGCCUUCUGCGCCGGGAGCCCCCGCAGAUGCGGAAGAUGCAGGGAAUGAUUCAGCCCCAGCCUUAAGAAAAAGAGGCACUGAAGAAAAUGAGUAAAGAGGAGCAGAGUUUCUUUUUUCCUCCCAAGUGAAUCAUUGAAAGAAAUGGUGAAAUUAGACCCAUUACAUCUUCUGGAGAAACUGGAAGGGGCUUGCAGUAGGUUGAAUGGUGGCCGCCCCAGAAGAUAUGUCCUUGGAACCUGCUAAUGAAACCUUACUUGAAAAAGGCAUCUUUGGGCCGGGCACAGUGGCUCACACCUGUAAUCCCAGCACUUUGCGAGGCCAAGGCCAGUGGAUCACCUGAAGUCAGGAGUUCAAGACCAGCCUGGCCAACAUGGCGAAAUCCCAUCUCUACUAAAAAUACAAAAAGUAUCUGGGUGUGGUGGUGGGUGCCUGUAACCCCAUCUACUCGGGAGCCUGAGGAAGGAGAAUAACUUGAACCUGGGAGGCAGAGGUUGCAGUGAGCCGAGGUCGCGCCACUGCACCCCAGCCUGGGCGACAGAGCGAGACUCCGUCUCAAAAAAAAAAAAAAAAAAAAAAAAAAAAAAAAAAAAAAAAAAAAGAGAGAGAGAGAAAGGCAUCUUUGUCAAUGUAUUUAAGUUAAGGAUCUUGAGAUGAGAUUAUCCUGGAUUGUCCAGUUAACCCUGAAUCCAGUGACAAGUGUCUUUAAAAGAGAUACACAGAGGAGAAGACAGACACAAAGAGAGAAGGUGAUGUGAAGAUGGGGGCAGAGAUUGGAGGGACGCAGCUACAAGCCAAGAAAACCAAGGAUUGCUGGCAGCCACCAGAGGCUGGGAGAGAGGCCUGGGUUGAGACGGCCUCAGAGCCUCCAGAGGGAGCCUGGUCCUGCUGACACCUCAGUUUUGGAGUUCUGACCUCCAGAACUAUGAGAAAAUAAAUUUCUGUUGUUUCAAGCCACCGAGUUUGUGGUAACUUUUCAUGGCAGACCUAGGAAACUAAUACAGGAA